AACUCACUAUGUGUAUAACACACACGUGUCGGCACAUUCGCCGGGGUGCCUGAGUGGUUUGCUCCAUUCGGGUCGGCGCAAUGGGACACGUGGAGGCAUAAC
rnacentral:sRNA from 1 species